UACGGCGGGAGCUAGCGUUGUUCGGAAUUACUGGGCGUAAAGCGCGCGUAGGCGGCUUUGUAAGUUAGAGGUGAAAGCCCGGGGCUCAACCCCGGAACUGCCUUUAAAACUGCAUCGCUUGAAUCCAGGAGAGGUGAGUGGAAUUCCGAGUGUAGAGGUGAAAUUCGUAGAUAUUCGGAAGAACACCAGUGGCGAAGGCGGCUCACUGGACUGGUAUUGACGCUGAGGUGCGAAAGCGUGGGGAGCAAACAGG
rnacentral:rRNA from 1 species